ACUGAAGGAUGGCAGCCACCUGGACAUCAGGAUCCCUUGUGAAAAUACGAGAGAUCUUCCACAGAGAGGACAAGUAUUUCUCAUUUGUGACAUAUAGCUUUAAUGUUACAACCCAUCCUGGAGCUUUCAGGUAUGUUUCCUAUUUUUCUAUUCCAUUUUCAAAUUGAACAGAAAAAAAAGAGAAGUAAAGGUUGUCAGUUUGAAGAAGAGGUUUUGAGUUAACUAUUUGGAUUAUUUUGCCAUGACAACAGAACUGAUGAGGUGCUCUGUGGUGAUUAGCAAAAUACUGGUCAAGCAAAAUGGUUAUAAUAAUCCAGAAUCAUGAAUUCAAAUUUCACAAUGGCAACUGGACAAUUUAAAGUCAGUCAAAUAAAUAUGGAAUAAAAUGUCAUUAUCAUUACUUGCAGCUACACUAAAGUUGAAUUUGUAUUAAAACCUUAACUGGUUUAUGAACUUUAGCAACCAGUCUGUAUGUGACUCCUGACUCUCAGCAAUGAUGGUAAUUUUUAACUGUCCUCUGAAUGCGCUCGCAAGCUGCUCUGGAGUAUCACAUCACUAUGCAAACAAUAGGAAUAAAGCUGAGUGGCAUCAAAAAAUGACAAAGGCACAUAUAGCUCAGUCGACACUACAGAGUCCUCCUCACUGACGUUGGGAAUUUGUGCCAAAUGUGGGAGCUGUCCCACAGACUAAUCAGGAUUAGCCUGACACAGUCAUGAAUUCAGAAACAUUUACCCAAUGUCCCAAGUUCCUCUGACAUCAGGAGCUGUCCCAUAAGUAGGGCAUACUCACCUGAAGUGUCUGCACAGUGGUACACAGUAGGAAAUGACAUGCUGAGCAUCAUCAAUGUUGAUUUGUCUAAAUGUCCCUUUGUUAUCAAUGUUAAGUGGCCAGCCAAGGAAAGGACACUUGUUCACCAGUGGAAUGCAUCUGGGAGACCUCGGUGUUGAUGCCAAGGUCCUCAUGGCAUAAGGUCAAUGUUCUGAUAAUUAUCAACCAUUGUCCUCCUUAAGCUGUUGAAUUGGUACUUCUCCAGGUUAAACAAGACCUUGAAAGAACUACUGAAGGCAGCAAGAGCAUUUGAUGUACUUUGGGUUCAAUAGCCAUCUCCAGAAGUGACUCACUGGCACCAAUACUGACUAAGCCAACUGAGUCCUGAAAAACAGUUCCAAACUAGGCCAGAAGGAAGUGGUGAGAGUUUCAGUAUCACGGGAGAACUUACUUGCCAUCAUCAUUUUACUUUUUGAUUGCAGCCCCUACUCACCGUUUCCGGCGAGGUGGAAAAUCUCACGUUUACAUCAGAAAUACAACGUUUAGAAAUGUCUCGGAGAGCAAAAUUAAUGUCUGAAUGGCACCUCAACUUUCCAGAUUUCUGUGUGGGGGGGUUCCCCUAUUUAAAGCAAAAGCAAGGACAGUUUAUAAUUGUUUUCAGUUCGAAUGCAACGACUUGUAUUCUAGCCGCUAUACCUCAGCUCAAAUUUCAAUUAAUUCUGUUCCAGGCAAGUAGCUGAAGACAGCUAUGAGUGCUGAAAAUCUGGUAGAAAUGGUGAUCAAUAGUUUAUUCUUGAGCAUGAGGGCUCUUGUGGCACGCUGGUAGUGUCCAGAAGGAUCCAGGGUAAGUCCCAGCUGCUGAAGACGUGCGUAAUCACACAUCUUGAAUAGUUGAUUCAAAAUAUUUGAUCAUUCCUCGAGAACAGCAUAUUUGCAAAUAUUUUUAACUGGUCCCACCUCUUGCUUGCCGUUUAGGAUCUCGUUAUGAUAAAUCAAACUUGUGAGUCGUCUCAUCACCAAACUAUUCAUGGGUUUAGAGGAAAGUAGUCAAGUUCUGGGAAUGAUUGUGCUGUUUUGUAAUCGCAGCUACAGGUGCUAGUUGGGUGAGACAAUACGGUGCGGGAUGAUUGGUCGCUGCAUGCGGGCAGGCACCAUUAAUGAAGUUUUCAGACGGUGUCGAAACUUGUUCGGUCGUUCCACCGCACCAUCAGCUCUUAAGAGCAAACUAGUCGAAGUGCAGGUGAUUCUGGCCAAUCUUCAAAAGGAAACGGUAGCUGCCAAUUGAAAUGUCCUCAUGUACGUACAACGUGAGUUUGAAACUUGCCUCGCUUCAUCGCAUAUUAAAGCAUUGUUCAACCAAGCUGGAAUCAUCUUCUGAAACCGCUGAUCCACGGUUUGUGAAUUAAUAUUGUUGGAAAAUCCACUUUCUCUUCGAUCACAUUUGGUCCGUUUAAAAACGGCUAGGUAUCCCUUUGAUGGCAGGACUGCGAAAUAGAGGUCGUUUAGUCAAGACUUUGUAGUUACAUUGUUCGAGAUGUCCGGAACAUAUAGAUUUUGAAUAUGGAUAAGGUUUUUAUAAUUUUUUUUUGUUUGGCAUAAUUGAGAGACACGGAAUGAAAGGAUGUCGGGCAAUAUAUGUAAAUACCACAUCUUCCGCUGUCCGACUUUCAAACGUGAGACCCGAAUCAUAAAUGUGGCCCAAUACAUCUGCUUAUAAUCAUCUCGCAUAAAACUGCUAAAAUUCCUUUCAAGAAACUGAUCUCACUGGAGAAAUGGAAGCAAUACAACCAUGAAUGCGAAAUAAGUUGCAAUGCUCACUUAACGUUAAAGCCCUCAUGUUAGUACAUUAACAGUUGGUUCAUAUGAAAUGUGUAUUAGUGCUGUUUAUUGCAAGUUGAACUCACUUUUAGCAAUAUGUUGAAUGAUACUUGGAGUCUGUUCUUACGAACUAGUUUCUCCUGUGAUAUUUGUGAGCGAUGACCGCCCCUACAAUCCGGGCAGCACCGUACACAUCAUCUGCUUUCCCGUAAAUUGCAUUGGGUUGAACCAACUGCAUUUCCGCUGUGCACUUUGAGACCGACACUCCAAGUUGCUAUGAGAUCCACUUUAUCGGGAGUACAGUAUUUCGUAGACUCCUCUCAAAUUUUCUGGCAGCUAUUGGCCAAAUCCAGUGGUGCAUUUGCCCAGUAUAGUGAGCAUUGAUUUUUCUCAACCCUGUAUCCCAGGCCUGGACAAAUAAAAUUGUCGUGGAAAAUGUGGUAUUUAAGUCAUGAAGCAUUGUCGGUAAAUAUCACCAACCUACGUACACUUUCUGGCACUUGCGUCUGUUUUACGCAACCGUUUCUCAACAAGGCGGAAGUCCCUCCUCUGUGUCACUUGUAUUUGUGCGAAUUUUUCUGUCGGCCCUUAGCGCCCCCAUGUUAUUAUCGAGUUAAGAACCGUUUAUUUUUCCCAUCACAGCGUAGCGCAGGCAACAAAUGGCCCAAUAUUUGUCCACGGGACAUAUAAUAGUAUUUUGAAACAAUCACGUUUCUUGAAGUUUCUGUAAGUAAACACGAAUAAAUGCAUUUAAUAGAAUGAAAAA